rnacentral:lncRNA from 10 species
GCACAUGAGAUCAGCUGCCUGCAGAAACCGCUUUAAAUGACAGGAUGUUUCCCUUGCCAAAAGCAGAGGAGCAGCCUGGAAAUCUAAUCAAGUCCUAGCCAAACGUCAAAGGAAGCUGAAGCCUUUAUUAUUGCUAUUAAUGAGGGUUCAAAGUGCAUGUGGAGUCCUGGGAGGCCAGGGCAGAGAAAAGAAGGUUCAGGGGGCCUGCAUCUCACAAGGCCACCCCUCGGGAGGCUGCUGGUUGGGGUUCAGCCACCUUGAGAACAUCAAGCUCAGUUCCCCUCCCCUGAUUUCACUGCCACCAACAACCUUCUGGUUGUCUUCAGCUUCCAUGAAAAUUUUCUAUAAGGGAGAGACUCCACCAAUCAGUGCUCCAGUCACCACGCCCGUAUGGUGAAUGCUUAGAAGUUAACACUACAUCUUCUGUUGCCUGGGAGUUUGGUUAGCAUGACUCAGCGUUCCUGAGAAUGCCUGACCCCGUGGGCUCCGACAAACAUGUUUCUGGAUCAUGGUGAUGCCACUAAGGUUUGGAGGAGUCCUGUAUGCUCCCAGGAUCCACUUUCUUUGUAUCUCUCCAUGGACUUGAGCCUCUUCCCUGUCUGUCCUGAGUUUUUGGGGGUGGGGUGAUCGCUAAUGCCUUAAUGGUCCCAUUUGGGUCAAUAAAAAUGUUUCUGCUUCAAAUUUUGCUUCCUUGGGCUCCCAGAAG